GAUGAACGCUGACAGAAUGCUUAACACAUGCAAGUCUUUGGUGAAGCUGUGCUUGCACAGCCUAGCCAAGGCGGACGGGUGAGUAACGCGUAAGGAACUUGCCCUGCAGUCAGGGAUAACAGACGGAAACGACUGAUAAGACCUGGUAAAGUCAGGCGGACUCAUGUCCAGCCUGAUGAAAAGAGAUGCUGCAGGAGAGCCUUGCGUCCUAUUAGCUUGUUGGUGGGGUAACGGCCCACCAAGGCAAUGAUAGGUAGCCGGCCUGAGAGGGUGGACGGCCACAAGGGGACUGAGAUACGGCCCUUACUACUACGGGAGGCAGCAGUGGGGAAUAUUGGACAAUGGGGGCAACCCUGAUCCAGCAAUUCUGUGUGCACGAUGAAGGUUUUCGGAUUGUAAAGUGCUUUCAGCAGGGAAGAAAAAAAUGACGGUACCUGCAGAAGAAGCGACGGCUAAAUACGUG
rnacentral:rRNA from 1 species